CCCUAAGUUAUCCUUCAGUAUGGCAGAGCAGGCACCUUCUUACCUUGAUGACAAUUGCCUGUUGUACCAUCAAAUGCCAGUGACCGGAGAAGCCAGGAGAAGGCAGGCGGCGAGGGAGGCUGUUCUUGCGGCCUCUCACUCCUCUCUUGCGCCCAGGGUGGUAGGGAGGCUGAAUUUGCCUCAGAAAAUAAAAUUGUGUGAGUCUGUGUGCCAGUGAGUGUUUGACUGUCUGUGAAUGUGUGUGCCUGUCAGUGAGUGAGGGUAUGUCUGUCAUGCUGCAUUCAUCUUGCCAUCAAUUUUCACAAGCCUUUAGAGCUUACACUCUCCAAAACAUCAGUGAGCCAUCACCAUGCUUCA